rnacentral:tRNA from 1 species
GGGAGUAUAGCUCAGUGGUAAAGCACUUUUGCCUGGCAUACAAGAAGCCCUGGGUUCCAAUCCCAGCACCA